UCCCUGGUGGCCCAGUGGUUAAGACUCUGCACUCCCAAUGCAGGCAGCCCGGGUAUGAUUCCUGGUCAGGGAA
rnacentral:tRNA from 1 species